UACGGAGGGUGCAAGCGUUAUCCGGAUUUAUUGGGUUUAAAGGGUGCGUAGGCGGAUUAAUAAGUCAGUGGUGAAAUCCUGCAGCUCAACUGUAGAACUGCCAUUGAUACUGUUAAUCUUGAGUGUAGUUGAGGUAGGCGGAAUAUAUCAUGUAGCGGUGAAAUGCGUAGAUAUGAUAUAGAACACCAAUUGCGAAGGCAGCUUACUAAACUAUUACUGACGCUCAGGCACGAAAGCGUGGGUAGCGAACAGG
rnacentral:rRNA from 1 species